UUCCGGCUGUGGAGAGAAGUGGACAGAAUGACACUAGACACUCGGGUGGCCGGGACGGCGCUGCCUCUUCUCCCUGAGCGACUGGGGCUAGUUACUCAACCUGUGUCUCAGCGCCUUCUGAGGAGAGUCUCUUGGUGACCCUGGAGUCCCGGUUUGGCGAGGCCGGCGGUGAACCCCUUCUCUGGCCACUGUUUGGGCUGGGCUCUGAGCUCAGCGGAGCCGCUUCCCCAGGCCCCUUUUCUUCACAAACAGCAGCAGCAGCAGCAGCAGCUGGAGGCCGGCUCUCAGUAAGCUGCCCUCGCUGUUCUAAACCCGUGAUCCUCCUGCUCCCACCUCCCGUGCUGGGAUAACAGGCCACAGCCCACACCUGGUCUACAACAUGCUGGAGCCCGGCGCUCCGUAUGAACUAACUGAGCGCUCUGCCCCUUCGGCCUGACACCGCGACAACACUUAAGGUGGUUGGUGGUGUGUCUGAGCCCAGGUCAACGGCAGGGAGGUCUGAAGGCCAGAGGCGGCAGAGGCUCCCCGAGGACUCACCACGACCUUCAGUGUCUUCUUGACACCAUCGCUGAUGAAGUGCUUGAAGACGGCAGCCUUGACCUCCACCUCCUGGAGGCCGAUCUUCAAGGGCACGAUGACAUAAGGCACAGCCACAGAAGACUUGGGAGGGAUCCAGAUGGUCUGCUGAUAGUUCUUCUUGGCGGUGGCCAUGCUGCAGAAGGCUGGGUUGUGCAA